rnacentral:rRNA from 1 species
ACGGGAGGCAGCAGUGAGGAAUAUUGGUCAAUGGGCGGAAGCCUGAACUAGCCGAGUCGCGUGAAGGAAGAAGGUAUUAUGUAUUGUAAACUUCUUUAGACGCAGAGAAAUAAGGCGCUCGAGAGCGCUGAUGCUAGUAUGCGUAGAAUAAGGAUCGGCUAACUCCGUGCCAGCAGCCGCGGUAAUACGGAGGAUCCGAGCGUUAUCCGGAUUUAUUGGGUUUAAAGGGUGCGCAGGCGGCCCUGUAGGUCAGCGGUUAAAUCGUGGAGCUCAACUCCAUCCCGCCGUUGAUACUGCAGGGCUUGAUUGCGGUCGAGGUUGGCGGAAUUCGCCGUGUAGCGGUGAAAUGCAUAGAUAUGGCGAAGAACUCCGAUUGCGUAGGCAGCUGACCAGGCCGUAAAUGACGCUCAUGCACGAAAGUGCGGGGAUCGAACAGGAUUAGAUACCCUGGUA